rnacentral:rRNA from 1 species
CCUACGGGUGGCAGCAGUGAGGAAUAUUGGUCAAUGGCCGAAAGGCUGAACCAGCCAAGUAGCGUGAGGGAAGACUGCCCUAUGGGUUGUAAACCUCUUUUAUGAGGGGAUAAAGGUGUCCACGUGUGGAUGUUUGCAGGUAUCGCAUGAAUAAGGACAGGCUAAUUCUGGGUCAGCAGCUGCGGUAAUACGGGGGGUCCGGGUGUUAUCCGGAUUUAUAGGGUUUAAAGGGAGCGUAGGCCGGUCUUUAGGCGUGCCGUGAAAUUUUGUGGCUCAACCAUGAGAGUGCGGCGCAAACUGGAGACCUUGAGUGCGCGGAAGGCAGGCGGAAUUCGUGGUGUAGCGGUGAAAUGCUUAGAUAUCACGAAGAACCCCGAUUGCGAAGGCAGCCUGCCGCAGCGUUACUGACGCUGAGGCUCGAAAGCGCGGGUAUCGAACAGGAUUAGAUACCCCUGUAGUC